GACGAACGCUGGCGGCGUGCCUAAUACAUGCAAGUCGAACGAGAGCGACCGGUGCUUGCACUGGUCAAUCUAGUGGCGAACGGGUGAGUAACACGUGGGUAACCUGCCCAUCAGAGGGGGAUAACAUCCGGAAACGGAUGCUAAAACCGCAUAGGUCUUCGAACCGCAUGGUUUGAAGAGGAAAAGAGGCGCAAGCUUCUGCUGAUGGAGGGACCCGCGGUGCAUUAGCUAGUUGGUGAGGGAACGGCCCACCAAGGCCGUGAUGCAUAGCCGACCUGCGAGGGUGAUCGGCCACAUUGGGACUGAGACACGGCCCAAACUCCUACGGGAGGCAGCAGUAGGGAAUCUUCCGCAAUGGACGCAAGUCUGACGGAGCAACGCCGCGUGAGUGAAGAAGGUUUUCGGAUCGUAAAACUCUGUUGUUAGAGAAGAACAAGUGCUAGAGUAACUGUUAGCGCCUUGACGGUAUCUAACCAGAAAGCCACGGCUAACUACGUG
rnacentral:rRNA from 1 species